rnacentral:lncRNA from 1 species
UUGUGUAGCAUUGGAAGCUUACACUCUUUGGGUGAAGAAAAGAGCUUUGGAGUUGAAGAUGCAUUAUCCUUGUGAAAGACAUAUAUCUAUGACUGUGGUUGAGCUAUUAACUAUCCCUAACCAAGAUGUAGAGGAGUUGGAAGACGCACUCGCCAAGAUGAAGCAAGAGAAGGAUAUGUGGGAAGAGCGUUUCUGUUUUUUGAGCAAGAAGCAUGAGGAGUUGCAAUUGG